rnacentral:rRNA from 1 species
UACGAAGGGGGCGAGCGUUGUUCGGAUUUACUGGGCGUAAAGGGCGCGCAGGCGGUUCUGUUUGUCGAGGGUGAAAGCCCCGGGCUCAACCUGGGAACUGCGCUCGAAACGGCAGAACUAGAGUUCGGGAGAGGAGAGUGGAAUUCCCAGUGUAGAGGUGAAAUUCGUAGAUAUUGGGAAGAACACCGGUGGCGAAGGCGGCUCUCUGGACCGAUACUGACGCUGAGGCGCGAAAGCGUGGGGAGCAAACAGG